rnacentral:lncRNA from 1 species
CAGACACAGGGAUUACAUUAGACCCUCACUGCAGCAGUGACAGAGGACUUCAACAGGUGUGGUGUUUGAAAGAUCUUCCUCAGCUUUCAACAGGACCUUCCUGUAUGGAGAAAGUGGAAUAGGAAAUCCAGCUUCUUACUCCACCUUAGUAAAUACUAAGGGUGGCUGUUACAUCCAGAGACAGUCCACUGUGGUCCAGGGAAACUCAGGUCCGUUCUCC